rnacentral:rRNA from 1 species
UACGUAGGUGACGAGCGUUGUCCGGAUUUACUGGGCGUAAAGAGCGCGCAGGCGGUCGUUCAAGUCGAGUGUGAAAGCCCCCGGCUUAACUGGGGAGGGUCAUUCGAUACUGCUCGGCUCGAAGACAGGAGAGGGAAGUGGAAUUCCCGGUGUAGUGGUGAAAUGCGUAGAUAUCGGGAGGAACACCAGUGGCGAAGGCGACUUUCUGGCCUGUUCUUGACGCUGAGGCGCGAAAGCUAGGGGAGCAAACGGG